UCUCCGCCGCCUCGCGGCUGCCAGGGGCGGGGCGGCCGCCCAGCCGAAGGGCAAGAGCGGGCCCUGGUGGGCGGAACGGAGGGGUGCAGCGGCCCGCACCGGCUCGGCGCUCUUCCUUCCCCCGCCCCCGCCCUCUCCGUCCACCUGGGGGCCUUCCCGCCAAAACCUCUCACCUGUGCCUGCCCAGCGCCCGCAGCUGCGGCCGCGGCGGAGGACCGCCUGAGGCAGCGCGUUGCUCGCGGGCCUUUCUUCGGAUCCAUAGAGAUCCUGUUUCUACAUAAAUCCCUCCACACGUUGAUGUCUGAGGAAUCAUUCUGACAGCAGCACGGUCGCUCACGGACGUCCUCACGGAAUGUCAGCGUCUGAAGACACACAGAGCUCCCGAGCCAGAGCCAGGGACGGACGUCAGAGCCUCAGCUCCUCCUAAAAUAAAUCAGAUGCAUCGAGAAGAGGCAUGGUUUAUCUCAGCCAGAGCUUGACCUGCUCACAUCUCUCUGCUUUUUGACAGUCAUAGACAGUCAUAACUGCCUUUCUAGCCCUGGGAUGUAAAUGGAAAAUUCAAGCAUCUGAGCAAGACUUUCCAAAAUGUAGAGGCUGUCAAAGCAGCUGAUGGAAUAGAUGGAAUAUUAUGCCAGGCACCUAGGUUGUGGACUCAAGCCAGCUCUCAGGCUGGGAACUCACUGAUAGAAGAGGAGGCCAGGUUCUUCAGGAGGAGGGACCCUGCAAUGCCACAGUUGGCAUACAUGUUUCUUCCAGGAAGAGAGGCCUGUGAGAACCUGGAGGGGCUACCUGUGGCACCCAGAUGGAACAUGUGGAUCUGAUUAGCAUAAUGGAUGGACUCUGAUAGACGCUGACCUGUUGUCUUCAAGAUAACAGUUCUGACUAAAGGAGACCUGGAUUAUCCUAAGAAGAUCUGUUAGAGGAGGAUGGUAAAGGGGCUGUACAACACAAUUCCUGCCUGCAAGGUCAUUACAGAGAAUGGUUUCAAAUGUGCUACAAUGCAGAUGGUAUAGGAUGUAAUCCAAGACCUGAAGAGAGACCCUUAAUUCAGACCAGGGUGAGUAUGUAUCUACGGGGAGAAAGAUGUCCCAGAGAAGACAAGCUUGUUCCUACAAAUGGUAAUCACCAGAGGAGCAAUAGAGACAGGAUGGUGAUACAAGACUUUGAGGCAGCAGAAAGAGCGCGUACAGAGCCUUGGAGGCAGCUGCAUCGCUAAGUGGUUUCUCAGGAGGAGUCCUCCGCCCGGAUGCCUGCAGGAGAAGCUACUGAUCUUGGGUGUGCUCCACAGAGACACUUGAGAGGGAGAGCCCAUACAGGGCAGGAGCAAUCAGCAGCUGGGGCAGGUGCACCUAUGCCUUGGCUUUGUAUCAUUUUGUUCAUGUCCUAUGAAUCUUGCCUUUUAUAAGUCUAUGACGUUUUUAUUUUGGGACAGGAUUUCUACCUUUUACUUGAAUUUUAGGUCUUGUAUACCACUGCUAUUGAAAGAGAAAUAAUCCAGGGUACUUGUAAAUACCAAGCUAAAUUUCAUACUUGUUUACUUGCCAGGGACUGAAUAAAAUAAUGUCUGUGGAUAAGGACUUCGGAUGUUUUCAACAUAGGGAUUCAGAGUUGGUGUCCUUUCUAGCUUUUCCAUUACACAUGUACUUAGUGGGAAUUAACUGCUCCCAUACUGUGAUUCCAUAGCACUUUAUACCUUUUAGGUAUUGCUCUUACUUUCCUUGUUUUAUCUCAUAAUUGCUACCAUGACUCUUUCAGAGUCUAUUCAUCAUUUUAUCCUUCCUUAGGGCUUAGCAGAGCCUUGCAGAUGAUAGUCAAUGAAUUUUUGUUGAACUGAUUGUGGCAUAAUGUCUGAAUGAUAUCAUUGCACUAAUACACACAAUUAUUAGCCUAAAAAAUAAAAAAAAAGAAAAAAGAAAAAUGUUUUAGGUAGUGAAAUUAAACAAUGGAUAUAUCUUAAAACCCUAAAAAAAUCCUAAAAAAACCCCCAAAACUAUGUGAUUAUUUUGUGUGUAAAGCACACCUAAGCCUGGGUAGCCACAGGCAAAUUAUAUUGUUGUAACACUUCUAAUAUACAAAUAGACACAUAUUUAGUUACAAGAUCUAAAAUACUAUUAAAAUUAAAAAUUCAUUUGUCUUGAAGAGAGAGAUGCAUCUAUUCUAUGAUUGGUGCAGACCAAACGCUUAUUCACGGUAGGAGAGUCAGAACAGUCACUGACUCUGGAGUUUAGCCAGCACUGAGGCACCAGCAUCAUGGUGUAGAGUGAGUUCUCCUGGCAUGUGUAACCUGACCAAGGGCUCCAAUUAUAGACUUUUUUUUAAUUUUAGAGUGGGGUAAAGAGCAGAUGGCUGGGGAACCUCUAGAACCUGACUCAGUCUGUGGCUCCUAGCAUCAUCCCCGACCCCUGCUCACCUUGUCCUCUGGCCCUUUUUUUCUUGGUAAAAAAUAAACAGAUUUUAUGUUAAAAAAAUGCAUUUUUUUCUUUUGACUUUAGGUCCUUUUUUAUUAUAAUGGCUUUUAGUACCAAACCAGUUUUAUAAUGCACCAGAAACAAAGCUUUCAAAUAUGAUUUGAUUUCUGCUUCCUGGACAUGUUUCCUGGGAAUGAAUAAGAAAACUUCUGUAGGCAGUUUUGUUCUGUCACCAGAACAAAAACACUGCCAACUAUUCUAAUAAAUCUCUGCUUUGAUAACUAAAUAAAUUCAGUGAUAAGAAAAAAUCCUUACAAUUUACCUUGUUAGUAGGGAUAAAUGAUUUACUUGUUAAUUUUAUAACAACAGGGAUACCUGGGUGGCUCAGCAGUUGAAUG